GUGUGUGUCAAUCUGUCCUAACAAAAACAGCCCAAAAACUGGAGACACUCCAGAGUCUCUGGAAAAACUACACAAGAAACUGAUUGACCCCUGUGUGGGUAACACAUUCCUGCCUUUUUCUGUCACUUUUUGAGAUAUUUAAAAGAUCUGAAAAGAAGACGGACAUUGUGCACCCAGAGUACAGAAGACUUACGUCUGAGCUGCCACAGCGGAAACAAUUGUCUUUAAUUAUUAUAAAAGCUUUUGAUUACUUCAUCCUCAGCUUAAGAACACAAUCAAUCAAUUUCAGACUUACAGGAACUCAGAGCUGUGUAAGGAAAAUACACCUUUUCAUCUGGAAGUUGAGUAGAACUCAAUUUACAAGGAAACAAGAAACAUUGAAGAUGUCUGCUCUUCGUUUUGACUAACCUAAAGGAACGGACGAUGAGGAAAAGAAAAUAUUCAAAUGCGAAACUCUGAUGGAAAAAACCCAGAGAUUCUCUAUGAAGACACAUAUCAAACUGGUAAAAGAUGCGACCUCAUUUUCUUCACCCACUCUGGAGCAGACUACAGGGCUGCAAUAGAAGAAGCUUACCUUAAAUCCAAGGAUAUUCAAAUGGACAACAAACUCAAACUUUAGCUCUCUGAUGGAGGCACUGUGUCCAUAUUUAUCAGUGGAAAGAUUUUGAUUCAAGGUACAGAAGAAAACCUUGAUGCAUUUGAGAAAAUGUUUAACAAAAUUCAACAAGAUGUAGACACAAGAAAAGAAGAACAGAUGAUGAAAACAUUACAGCAAAUGAAAGUUGAAGAAUCUGAUUCUGAAACAGAAGAAUGAGACAAACAGAAACAGUCUAAAUAAAAUGUGAUACAACAAGAAAAAAACAGGAAACAAUAUGGGCAUUUGAACUAUUAGAGUGUUUGAAGAAGUGGCUCUUCCUUCACUCAGGAGACCCAAACAAACAAAAGAGCACCACACCCACUUCAUCCUGAGCUUGAGAACACAAUCAAUCCAUUUUAGACUUACAGGAACUCAGAGUCUGAACCAACUAGUGCAGGAGCUGUGUAAGGAAAAUACACCUUUUCACCUGGAAGUUGAGUACAUCUCUAUUUACAACAGAACAAGAAACAUUGAAGAUGCCUGUUCGUCGUUUUUAUAGUGAACCUCUGGAAAACCCAGAGGUUCUCUAUGAAGACAGAAAACAAACUGGUAAAAGAUGCAACCUCAUUUUCUUCACCCACUCUCGAGCACACUACAGGGCUGCAAUAGAAGAAGCUUACCCUAAAUCCAAGGCUAUUCGAAUGGACAACAAACUCAAACUUGAGCUCUCUGAUGGAGGCACUGUGUCUAUAUUUGACAGUGGAAAGAUUGUGAUUCAAGGUAAAGAAGAAAUCCUUUAUGCAUUUGAGAACAGGUUUGACACAAUUAAACAAAACGUAAACAGGAGAAGAUAAGAACAGGUGUGGAAAACAUUGGAGCAAUUGAAAGUUAAAGAACCUGAUUCUGAAACAGAAGAUCAGGACAAACAGAAACAGUCUAAGUAAAAUCAAAUAAGCAGGGAAAGACAGAGCCUCAGUUUUCUGUUAUUGAAGUACAUUAGAUGGGGAGAAAUUAAUAUGGGUAUUUGAACUCUUAAUAAGUGAUUAUAAAAGGUUUUUUCUUGUGUUUAUAAAUUACUGGAUAUUUAUUCUGAUUUGCAAUACUUCUUUCUGUUAUUCAUUACAUACAUAUGCUUUAGACUGGUGUCAGGAAAAGAAAAUAUAUUAAGAUUACUGUAGCAGCAGCUGGUAAUAAAUCAGUCCUCAUCAAGGAACAGUGCUCUUUAAUGAAUGCAGCACGUAACUUCACAUCGUAGAGGUAACAGGGUGACACAUCAAGCUAUCAGUUAACCAUCUUAAACAUAUUCUAACUUUACAUUUUCCCGACUGCACUUUACUGUCUUAUUUUCUUAUUACUCUCUUAUUACUCUCAUAUUGCACCACCCUAUAGUGGUGCAAUAUGGUAUAAUCAUUACAGGACACAACAAUUGCAAACAUAAAAUUACAUUUAUGGUGUUUUGAUUCUAGCAGGACUGCAGCACACUUUCUUUCAGAACAUCAGUUUUUCACAGUUAUUGAGAUUUAGAGUCUUUAGCCACUCAAAUUAAGAUAAUGUCACACCACCAGCAUUCAACAGUCCUGCAAGAGGAAACAUUAUAUAGUCAUAUAUCUGUCUGUUUUGAAAAAUCUUCAUUUCUGUGUGUGUAACCAUGGAGAUAUAAGGUCCUCUGUACUGAAAGAAAUCAUUAAAAUUUGAUUAUUCAUGACUUUAA